GCGGGGAUGGAGUAACAGUUGGCUCGUCAGCCUCAUAAGCUGAAAAUUAGUAGGUGCAAUUCCUACCCCCGUCACCA
rnacentral:tRNA from 1 species